rnacentral:rRNA from 1 species
CCUACGGGUUGCACCAGUGGGGAAUAUUGCACAAUGGGCGCAAGCCUGAUGCAGCCAUGCCGCGUGUAUGAAGAAGGCCUUCGGGUUGUAAAGUACUUUCAGCGAGGAGGAAGGCGUUGUGGUUAAUAACCGCAGCGAUUGACGUUACUCGCAGAAGAAGCACCGGCUAACUCCGUGCCAGCAGCCGCGGUAAUACGGAGGGUGCAAGCGUUAAUCGGAAUUACUGGGCGUAAAGCGCACGCAGGCGGUCUGUCAAGUCGGAUGUGAAAUCCCCGGGCUCAACCUGGGAACUGCAUCCGAAACUGGCAGGCUAGAGUCUUGUAGAGGGGGGUAGAAUUCCAGGUGUAGCGGUGAAAUGCGUAGAGAUCUGGAGGAAUACCGGUGGCGAAGGCGGCCCCCUGGACAAAGACUGACGCUCAGGUGCGAAAGCGUGGGGAGCAAACAGGAUUAGAUACCCGAGUAGUC